UUGGGAUUGGUCUAGUUAACUGGUUCGAUGCUAGUUUUAGUGUAGACAAUUUGGAUAGGUUACCAAAAAAAGCUGGAAAUGACCCUGCUAGUUGAUUAUGUGAAAGAUCUAAAUGCGUGAGUUGACUCAUUUGUCCUAAUUUGUGAGGAAUCUUUCCGCUUAGGCUGCAAGAUGAAAGGUCAAGUAUACUGAGCAUAGUAAGAUUAUCAAGCUCACUUGGAAUCGAACCUACAAGGUCAUUUCCACCUAUACUAAGGAAAGUGAG
rnacentral:rRNA from 1 species